rnacentral:sRNA from 1 species
AGUGCGUCUGUGGAGGCGGUCCUGUGACGUGAAUAACCCUAUACCUUCCAAUUUGAAAUCAGAAGCAAAAAAGGCUGCCAAAAUAUUAAGAGAAUUCACAGAAAUAACUUCCAGAAAUGGACCUGAUAAGAUCAUUCCUGCUCACGUAAUUGCAAAGGCUAAAGGCCUUGCAAUUCUGUCUGUGAUCAAAGCCGGGUUCCUGGUGACUGCCAGAGGAGGCAGCGGGAUUGUAGUGGCGCGCCUUCCAGAUGGAAAGUGGUCUGCACCCUCAGCCAUUGGGAUAGCUGGCCUUGGUGGGGGAUUUGAAAUAGGAAUUGAGACACAUUUACAGCUACAUAUUCCCUCUAGGCAUUGCCCUGGCUGCCUUCCAUAAGUGUGGGUAUCAGACUUGGUGAUAAUUCUGAAUUAUGACCGUGCUGUAGAAGCUUUUGCAAAAGGUGGAAAUCUAACCCUUGGAGGGAACUUGACUGUGGCGGUUGGGCCCUUGGGAAGGAACUUGGAAGGAAAUGUGGCCCUGAGAAACUCCGAUGCCGUCUUCACCUACUGCAAGUCGAGGGGACUCUUUGCAGGCGUGUCUUUAGAAGGGAGCUGUUUGAUUG